rnacentral:rRNA from 1 species
UACGAAGGGGGCUAGCGUUGCUCGGAAUCACUGGGCGUAAAGCGCACGUAGGCGGCUUUUUACGUCAGGGGUGAAAUCCUGGAGCUCAACUCCAGAACUGCCUUUGAUACUGGGAAGCUCGAGUCCGGGAGAGGUGAGUGGAACUCCGAGUGUAGAGGUGAAAUUCGUAGAUAUUCGGAAGAACACCAGUGGCGAAGGCAGCUCGCUGGGACGUGACUGACGCUGAGACGCGAAAGCGUGGGGAGCAAACAGG